UACGUAGGGGGCAAGCGUUGUCCGGAUUUAUUGGGCGUAAAGAGCGUGUAGGCGGCCAUGUAGGUCCGUUGUGAAAACUCGAGGCUCAACCUCGAGACGCCGAUGGAAACCAUGUGGCUAGAGUCCGGAAGAGGAGAGUGGAAUUCCUGGUGUAGCGGUGAAAUGCGCAGAUAUCAGGAAGAACACCCGUGGCUAAGACGGCUCUCUAGUACGGUACUGACGCUGAGACGCGAAAGCGUGGGGAGCAAACAGG
rnacentral:rRNA from 1 species